CUCUGUGACUCCGUACGGGAGGCAGCAGUGGGGAAUAUUGCACAAUGGGCGCAAGCCUGAUGCAGCCAUGCCGCGUGUGUGAAGAAGGCCUUCGGGUUGUAAAGCACUUUCAGUUGUGAGGAAGGUGGUGUCGUUAAUAGCGGCAUCAUUUGACGUUAGCAACAGAAGAAGCACCGGCUAACUCCGUGCCAGCAGCCGCGGUAAUACGGAGGGUGCGAGCGUUAAUCGGAAUUACUGGGCGUAAAGCGCAUGCAGGUGGUUUGUUAAGUCAGAUGUGAAAGCCCCGGGGCUCAACCUCGGAACUGCAUUUGAAACUGGCAGACUAGAGUACUGUAGAGGGGGUAGAAUUUCAGGUGUAGCGGUGAAAUGCGUAGAGAUCUGAAGGAAUACCGGUGGCGAAGGCGGCCCCCUGGACAGAUACUGACACUCAGAUGCGAAAGCGUGGGGAGCAAACAGGAUUAGAUACCCUGGUAG
rnacentral:rRNA from 1 species